rnacentral:rRNA from 1 species
AUUGAACGCUGGCGGCAGGCCUAACACAUGCAAGUCGAGCGAGCGGCGGACGGGUGAGUAAUGUAUGGGGACUGCCCGAUAGAGGGGGAGAACUACUGGAAACGGUAGCUCAUACAGCAUAUUAACGGAUAAUCCAUAUGGGAUUAGCUAGUUGUUGAGGUAAUGGCUCACAAAGGCGACGAUCCCUAGCUGGUCUGAGAGGAUGAUCAGCCACACUGGGACUGAGACACGGCCCAGACUCCUACGGAGGCAGCAGUGGGGAAUAUUGCACAAUGGGCGCAAGCCUGAUGCAGCCAUGCCGCGUGUAUGAAGAAGGCCCUAGGGUUGUAAAGUACUUUCAGUCGGGAGGCGUUACCCGCAGAAGAAGCACCGGCUAACUCCGUGCCAGCAGCCGCGGUAAUUC